rnacentral:rRNA from 1 species
GGUUAAGCGACUAAGCGUACACGGUGGAUGCCCUGGCAGUCAGAGGCGAUGAAGGACGUGCUAAUCUGCGAAAAGCGUCGGUAAGGUGAUAUGAACCGUUAUAACCGGCGAUGUCCGAAUGGGGAAACCCAGUGCAAUUCGUUGCACUAUCGUUAACUGAAUACAUAGGUUAACGAGGCGAACCGGGGGAACUGAAACAUCUAAGUACCCCGAGGAAAAGAAAUCAACCGAGAUUCCCCCAGUAGCGGCGAGCGAACGGGGAGCAGCCCGGAGUCUGAAUCAGCUUGUGUGUUAGUGGAAGCGUCUGGAAAGUCGCAGGGUACAGGGUGAUACUCCCGUACACUAAAACACACAGGUUGUGAACUCGAAGAGUAGGGCGGGACACGUGGUAUCCUGUCUGAAUAUGGGGGGACCAUCCUCCAAGGCUAAAUACUCCUGACUGACCGAUAGUGAACCAGUACCGUGAGGGAAAGGCGAAAAGAACCCCGGCGAGGGGAGUGAAAAAGAACCUGAAACCGUGUACGUACAAGCAGUAGGAGCCCCACCACCAAAGCGUUUCGCUUUGCGUGGUGCGCAAAAUGCGUAACGACAGCAUGAUGGACGGUUAACGGAGCGUCAGCGACGUUCAACGUCAAAAAUCAGGCAGUGGAGCGUUUUGGGGUGGGGUGACUGCGUACCUUUUGUAUAAUGGGUCAGCGACUUAUAUUCUGUAGCAAGGUUAACCGAAUAGGGGAGCCGCAGGGAAACCGAGUCUUAACUGGGCGUUAAGUUGCAGGGUAUAGACCCGAAACCCGGUGAUCUAGCCAUGGGCAGGUUGAAGGUUGGGUAACACUAACUGGAGGACCGAACCGACUAAUGUUGAAAAAUUAGCGGAUGACUUGUGGCUGGGGGUGAAAGGCCAAUCAAACCGGGAGAUAGCUGGUU